UAGUGGUUUACAAAGUAAUUCA
rnacentral:miRNA from 1 species